UGGGGAAUAUUGCACAAUGGAGGGAACUCUGAUGCAGCGACGCCGCGUGAACGAAGAAGGCUUUCGAGUCGUAAAGUUCUUUUAUAUGGGAAGAUAAUGACGGUACCAUAAGAAAAAGCCCCGGCUAACUACGUGCCAGCAGCCGCGGUAAUACGUAGGGGGCUAGCGUUGUCCGGAGUCACUGGGCGUAAAGGGUUCGCAGGCGGAAAUGCAAGUCAGGUGUAAAAGGCAGUAGCUUAACUACUGUAAGCAUUUGAAACUGCAUAUCUUGAGAAGAGUAGAGGUAAGUGGAAUUUUUAGUGUAGCGGUGAAAUGCGUAGAUAUUAAAAAGAAUACCGGUGGCGAAGGCGACUUACUGGGCUCAUUCUGACGCUGAGGAACGAAAGCGUGGGUAGCAAACAGG
rnacentral:rRNA from 2 species